rnacentral:rRNA from 1 species
UCGGGAAUUUUGGGCAAUGGGCGAAAGCCUGACCCAGCAACGCCGCGUGAAGGAUGAAGUAUUUCGGUAUGUAAACUUCGAAAGAAUAGGAAGAAUAAAUGACGGUACUAUUUAUAAGGUCCGGCUAACUACGUGCCAGCAGCCGCGGUAAUACGUAGGGACCAAGCGUUGUUCGGAAUUACUGGGCGUAAAGCGAACGUAGGUGGUUAUGUGUGUCUAGUGUGAAAGCCCACGGCUCAACCGUGGAAGUGCGCUAGAAACUGCAUAACUGGAGUGUAGGAGAGGAUAGUAGAAUUCUCAGUGUAGAGGUGAAAUUCGUAGAUACUGGGAGGAACACCGGUGGCGAAGGCGACUAUCUGGACUAUAACUGACACUGAUGUUCGAAAGCGUGGGGAGCAAACAGGAUUAGAUACCCCAGUAGUCCCUGAGCGGGCUGGCAAGGCGCAU